GACGAACGCUGGCGGCGUGCUUAACACAUGCAAGUCGAACGGAAAGGCCCUGCUUUUGUGGGGUGCUCGAGUGGCGAACGGGUGAGUAACACGUGAGUAACCUGCCCUUGACUUUGGGAUAACUUCAGGAAACUGGGGCUAAUACCGGAUAGGAGCUCCUGCUGCAUGGUGGGGGUUGGAAAGUUUCGGCGGUUGGGGAUGGACUCGCGGCUUAUCAGCUUGUUGGUGGGGUAGUGGCUUACCAAGGCUUUGACGGGUAGCCGGCCUGAGAGGGUGACCGGCCACAUUGGGACUGAGAUACGGCCCAGACUCCUACGGGAGGCAGCAGUGGGGAAUAUUGCACAAUGGGCGGAAGCCUGAUGCAGCAACGCCGCGUGCGGGAUGACGGCCUUCGGGUUGUAAACCGCCUUCGCCUGUGACGAAGCAUGAGUGACGGUAAUGGGUAAAGAAGCACCGGCUAACUACGUG
rnacentral:rRNA from 1 species